rnacentral:rRNA from 1 species
UAGUGAGUUUGAUCCUGGCUCAGAUUGAACGCUGGCGGCAUGCUUUACACAUGCAAGUCGAACGGCAGCGCGGGGCAACCUGGCGGCGAGUGGCGAACGGGUGAGUAAUAUAUCGGAACGUGCCCUGGAGUGGGGGAUAACUAGUCGAAAGACUAGCUAAUACCGCAUACGAUCUAUGGAUGAAAGUGGGGGAUCGCAAGACCUCAUGCUCGUGGAGCGGCCGAUAUCUGAUUAGCUAGUUGGUAGGGUAAAAGCCUACCAAGGCAUCGAUCAGUAGCUGGUCUGAGAGGACGACCAGCCACACUGGGACUGAGACACGGCCCAGACUCCUACGGGGAGGCAGCAGUGGGGGAACUUUU